rnacentral:rRNA from 1 species
UACGAAGGUCCCGAGCGUUGCUCGGAAUCACUGGGCGUAAAGGGUGCGUAGGCGGGUCUUUAAGUCAGGGGUGAAAUCCUGGAGCUCAACUCCAGAACUGCCUUGAUACUGAAGUAUCUUGAGUUCGGGAGAGGUGAGUGGAACUGCGAGUGUAGAGGUGAAAUUCGUAGAUAUUCGCAAGAACACCAGUGGCGAAGGCGGCUCACUGGCCCGAGUACUGACGCUGAGGUGCGAAAGCGUGGGGAGCAAACAGGG